rnacentral:rRNA from 1 species
GGACCCGCACAAGCAGUGGAGUAUGUGGUUUAAUUCGAGGCAACGCGAAGAACCUUACCAAGGCUUGACAUCCCUUGACAGUCACGGAAACGUGACGUUCCCUUCGGGGACAAGGAGACAGGUGGUGCAUGGUUGUCGUCAGCUCGUGUCGUGAGAUGUUGGGUUAAGUCCCGCAACGAGCGCAACCCCUGCUGCCAGUUGCCAUCAUUAAGUUGGGCACUCUGGCGGGACUGCCGGUGACAAAUCGGAGGAAGGUGGGGAUGACGUCAAAUCAUCAUGCCCCUUAUGUCUUGGGCUACACACGUACUACAAUGGCUACUACAAAAGGAAGCGAAACCGCGAGGCGGAGCGAAUCCCAAAAAGUAGUCUCAGUUCGGAUUGCAGGCUGCAACUCGCCUACAUGAAGUCGGAAUUGCUAGUAAUCGCAGGUCAGCAUACUGCAGUGAAUACGUUCCCGGGUCUU